ACCUUCGGGCCUCAUGCCAUCAGAUGUGCCCAGAUGGGAUUAGCUAGUAGGUGGGGUAACGGCUCACCUAGGCGACGAUCCCUAGCUGGUCUGAGAGGAUGACCAGCCACACUGGAACUGAGACACGGUCCAGACUCCUACGGGAGGCAGCAGUGGGGAAUAUUGCACAAUGGGCGCAAGCCUGAUGCAGCCAUGCCGCGUGUGUGAAGAAGGCCUUCGGGUUG
rnacentral:rRNA from 1 species